rnacentral:ncRNA from 2 species
GGGCGAAAUGACAAUUGGCUUCGUAUAACCCCACUAAUACGGUGUGGGGGUCUCUACCAGGAUCCGUAAAGUUCUGAUUACGAAGAGUAAAGUGAUUAUU